ACGAACGCUGGCGGCGUGCCUAAUACAUGCAAGUAGAACGCUGAAGAGAGGAGCUUGCUCUUCUUGGAUGAGUUGCGAACGGGUGAGUAACGCGUAGGUAACCUGCCUUGUAGCGGGGGAUAACUAUUGGAAACGAUAGCUAAUACCGCAUAACAAUGGAUGACACAUGUCAUUUAUUUGAAAGGGGCAAUUGCUCCACUACAAGAUGGACCUGCGUUGUAUUAGCUAGUAGGUGAGGUAAUGGCUCACCUAGGCGACGAUACAUAGCCGACCUGAGAGGGUGAUCGGCCACACUGGGACUGAGACACGGCCCAGACUCCUACGGGAGGCAGCAGUAGGGAAUCUUCGGCAAUGGGGGCAACCCUGACCGAGCAACGCCGCGUGAGUGAAGAAGGUUUUCGGAUCGUAAAGCUCUGUUGUAAGUCAAGAACGGGUGUGAGAGUGGAAAGUUCACACUGUGACGGUAGCUUACCAGAAAGGGACGGCUAACUACGUGCCAGCAGCCGCGGUAAUACGUAGGUCCCGAGCGUUGUCCGGAUUUAUUGGGCGUAAAGCGAGCGCAGGCGGUUUGAUAAGUCUGAAGUUAAAGGCUGUGGCUCAACCAUAGUUCGCUUUGGAAACUGUCAAACUUGAGUGCAGAAGGGGAGAGUGGAAUUCCAUGUGUAGCGGUGAAAUGCGUAGAUAUAUGGAGGAACACCGGUGGCGAAAGCGGCUCUCUGGUCUGUAACUGACGCUGAGGCUCGAAAGCGUGGGGAGCGAACAGGAUUAGAUACCCUGGUAGUCCACGCCGUAAACGAUGAGUGCUAGGUGUUGGAUCCUUUCCGGGAUUCAGUGCCGCAGCUAACGCAUUAAGCACUCCGCCUGGGGAGUACGACCGCAAGGUUGAAACUCAAAGGAAUUGACGGGGGCCCGCACAAGCGGUGGAGCAUGUGGUUUAAUUCGAAGCAACGCGAAGAACCUUACCAGGUCUUGACAUCCCGAUGCUAUUUCUAGAGAUAGAAAGUUACUUCGGUACAUCGGUGACAGGUGGUGCAUGGUUGUCGUCAGCUCGUGUCGUGAGAUGUUGGGUUAAGUCCCGCAACGAGCGCAACCCCUAUUGUUAGUUGCCAUCAUUCAGUUGGGCACUCUAGCGAGACUGCCGGUAAUAAACCGGAGGAAGGUGGGGAUGACGUCAAAUCAUCAUGCCCCUUAUGACCUGGGCUACACACGUGCUACAAUGGUUGGUACAACGAGUUGCGAGUCGGUGACGGCGAGCUAAUCUCUUAAAGCCAAUCUCAGUUCGGAUUGUAGGCUGCAACUCGCCUACAUGAAGUCGGAAUCGCUAGUAAUCGCGGAUCAGCACGCCGCGGUGAAUACGUUCCCGGGCCUUGUAUUACACCGCCCGUCACACCACGAGAGUUUGUAACACCCGAAGUCGGUGAGGUAACCUUUUGGAGCCAGCCGCCUAAGGUGGGACAGAUGAUUGGGG
rnacentral:rRNA from 1 species